rnacentral:rRNA from 1 species
AGCGAACGCUGGCGGCGUGCUUAACACAUGCAAGUCGAGUGCGCGGCUCGUAGCAAUACGAGCUGGCGCACGGCGCACGGGUGCGUAACACGUGGGCAACAUGCCCUCCGAUGGGGAAUAACCCGCCGAAAGGCGGGCUAAUACCGCAUACCAUUCCGGGAACCCGGUUCCUGGCCUGAAAGCCCGCAAGGGCGUCGGUGGAGUGGCCCGCGGCCGAUUAGCUUGUUGGUGAGGUAACGGCUCACCAAGGCAAUGAUCGGUAGCCGGUCUGAGGGGAGUGAUCGGCCACACUGGAACUGAGACACGGUCCAGACUCCUACGGGAGGCAGCAGUGGGGAAUCUUGCGCAAUGGGCGAAAGCCUGACGCAGCGACGCCGCGUGGGGGAUGAAG